rnacentral:rRNA from 1 species
CGACUCUCUGGCAACGGAUAUCUCGGCUCUCGCAUCGAUGAAGAACGCAGCACAAUGCGAUACUUGGUGUGAAUUGCAGAAUCCCGUGAACCAUCGAGUUUUUGAACGCAAGUUGCGCCCGAAGCCAUUAUGCUGAGGGCACGUCUGCCUGGGCGUCACG